UACGUAGGUGGCGAGCGUUGUCCGGAAUUACUGGGUGUAAAGGGCGUGUAGGCGGGGAUGUAAGUCAGAUGUGAAAUUCCAUGGCUCAACUGUGGGGCUGCAUCUGAAACUAUGUCUCUUGAGUGCUGGAGAGGAAAGCGGAAUUCCUAGUGUAGCGGUGAAAUGCGUAGAUAUUAGGAGGAACACCAGUGGCGAAGGCGGCUUUCUGGACAGUAACUGACGCUGAGGCGCGAAAGCGUGGGGAGCAAACAGG
rnacentral:rRNA from 1 species